GGGGGUGUAGCUCAAAUGGUAGAGCGCUCGCUUAGCAUGCGAGAGGAGGUACUGGGAUCGAUACCCAGCACCUCCA
rnacentral:tRNA from 1 species